AUUGAAUCAACAUGGUAAACCAAAAUCAUGCUUUAGGAAUAAUCUAAUAGCAUAUACAUUGAAUAACUAUAACAUGCCUUGCUUGAACAAUAUUAAGUUAAGGUUAAUUAGAAUUGAGUACUAAGCAUGCAUAGUAGUUUGAACGAUAAAAUUGUUCGACAUUAGUAUAAAUAGUUAUGCAUGCUAAACAACAAGUUAAAUACAAGAAUAACUUGUCAACAUCAAACCAAAGUUUAGAAAGCUU
rnacentral:lncRNA from 1 species